AUUGAACGCUGGCGGCAGGCCUAACACAUGCAAGUCGAGCGGAUGAGGGGAGCUUGCUCUCUGAUUCAGCGGCGGACGGGUGAGUAAUGCCUAGGAAUCUGCCUGGUAGUGGGGGACAACGUUUCGAAAGGAACGCUAAUACCGCAUACGUCCUACGGGAGAAAGUGGGGGAUCUUCGGACCUCACGCUAUCAGAUGAGCCUAGGUCGGAUUAGCUAGUUGGUGAGGUAAUGGCUCACCAAGGCGACGAUCCGUAACUGGUCUGAGAGGAUGAUCAGUCACACUGGAACUGAGACACGGUCCAGACUCCUACGGGGGGCAGCAGUGGGGAAUAUUGGACAAUGGGCGCAAGCCUGAUCCAGCCAUGCCGCGUGUGUGAAGAAGGUCUUCGGAUUGUAAAGCACUUUAAGUUGGGAGGAAGGUCAGUAGCUUAAUACGUUGCUGAUUUGACGUUACCGACAGAAUAAGCACCGGCUAACUCUGUGCCAGCCGCCGCAGUAAAAC
rnacentral:rRNA from 1 species